CCUGGCGGCCAUAGCGCCGUGGAACCACCUGAUCCCAUGCCGAACUCAGAAGUGAAACGCGGUAGCGCCGAUGGUAGUGUGGCAUUCGCCAUG
rnacentral:rRNA from 3 species